CCUACGGGAGGCAGCAGUGGGGAAUAUUGCACAAUGGGCGCAAGCCUGAUGCAGCGACGCCGCGUGAGGGAUGACGGCCUUCGGGUUGUAAACCUCUUUCAGUAGGGAAGAAGCGAAAGUGACGGUACCUGCAGAAGAAGCGCCGGCUAACUACGUGCCAGCAGCCGCGGUAAUACGUAGGGCGCAAGCGUUAUCCGGAAUUAUUGGGCGUAAAGAGCUCGUAGGCGGUUUGUCGCGUCUGCCGUGAAAGUCCGGGGCUCAACUCCGGAUCUGCGGUGGGUACGGGCAGACUAGAGUGAUGUAGGGGAGACUGGAAUUCCUGGUGUAGCGGUGAAAUGCGCAGAUAUCAGGAGGAACACCGAUGGCGAAGGCAGGUCUCUGGGCAUUAACUGACGCUGAGGAGCGAAAGCAUGGGGAGCGAACAGGAUUAGAUACCCUGGUAGUCCAUGCCGUAAACGUUGGGCACUAGGUGUGGGGGACAUUCCACGUUUUCCGCGCCGUAGCUAACGCAUUAGUGCCCGCCUGGGGAGUACGGCCGCAGGCUAAACUCAAAGGAAUUGACGG
rnacentral:rRNA from 1 species